rnacentral:rRNA from 1 species
GGGAGGGCGAGCGGAGGUGCCGAGGUGGGAGGAGUGGCGGCCGGCUGGCCGGGGUCGCCUAGUUCUAGGUGGGUCCGACAUCCCGUUCGUUUCUGACGCAGAAGUCUACAAAGUCUUUGGUCUUAGAACCUUACCACCGACUACGCGUCUCGAGUCUAAGUUACCGACCGUCGAGUCCAAGACGACGGCUUUUCGUGCAACUGUCCACAGAACUGUUUUCUCGGGUCCUUUUCCGAGGUUUCUUUUUAGUAUUUCGACUUGCUCUCUUUGAAUUUGCACUGGUCAACUUACUGGAAAAACAACUCGAGUCGUCAUACGAUCUAGUACUAGCUGUUUUAUCCCCUUUUCGAUGUCAUAACCCACUACAACGUGCUCAUGACGCUCUAAAUUAAUGAGUUCAACUUAGAGAAUCUUUCCUCGUUAGAUGAGAAGAUUGACUCGCGGUUAUACAGCCAAGUCUCUUCUGGCUCGACGUUCUACUCUUAUGAUGUGAGUCUCGGGUCUAUUAUCUUGAUGUCUUGCUCGAAGCACGUUCCUAGCCUUUGUCAUCGGACUUAGAUUCGUCGGAACGCCACGGUGUAGGUUAUCCCUCGUCGACGUGAUCAUUAAAUCGUUGGGUGGGUUGCGGCGUACUAUGUACCUCGUUACGAAGAUUAAAUUCGUGGUACGCGUACCACGGGGGUUGGUUGUGUGGUAGAGGUGACGUCUUAGUCGUCGUAGUGAGACAACGAAGACCAGUCCAACGUAGUGCCGGAGUCCUCGAGGUCGAGAAGGGCCCCUGUAGUCGUAGUUGCCUGGCUCUUACAAGGCCCGUAUCUUCGUUGGGUCGAUGAAGCUCGGAACGCCUAAGGAACGGACCUGUCGAAGCGGAGUCGGAAGGUGGUUGUAGGGUUCUUCUUUCGUCGCCGCCGCCGCCUCCGCGUGGCCCUUUAUCUUUUCUUGCUUUUUGGUCAAUCGGUUAACUGCCCAGUGUUGUUUAGUCAAGAACCACUAUUGUCGAGAGAACAUUUAUGGUUGUUCGAUGAGUGGAAUGACCAGGUUUGGAUGAUCAACGAGAUAUACAAAUUUAUUGAAAUGUUCAUACAAUACUAUAUUAAAACGUCGUCCGAUUAGUCUAAACAUUAGAUCUUGAGUGAUCAGCCACUAUACAAAAGCGGUUCCAAAAGUUGACAUUAUUCUUGUAUAUGUUGACCUGACACGUUCGCGCGGGGGGAUUCGCAGCCACUGCCUGUCACAGCUCGCCGUGGAGUAAACAGGUAAACCUGUUGGUGACACUGCGGACCUAUUAAUUCGAUGUCACUUGAAGACGAUUACUACGGUGUAGUG